UACAGAGGCCUCGAGCGUUAGGCGGAAUCACUGGGCUUAAAGCGUGUGUAGGUGGAUGCCUAAGUACCUUGUGAAAAUCCCACGGCUUAACCGUGGAACUGCUGGGUAUACUGGGCGCUUGAGCCACUCAGGGGGCUACCGGAACAAGCGGUGGAGCGGUGAAAAUGCGUAGAUAUCGCUUGGAACGCCAAUGGUGAAAAACA
rnacentral:rRNA from 1 species